CAGUAGCCGCGGUAAUACGUAGGUGGCAAGCGUUGUCCGGAAUUAUUGGGCGUAAAGGGCUCGCAGGCGGUUUCUUAAGUCUGAUGUGAAAGCCCCCGGCUCAACCGGGGAAGGUCAUUGGAAACUGGGAAACUUGAGUGCAGAAGAGGAGAGUGGAAUUCCACGCGUAGCGGUGAAAUGCGUAGAGAUGUGGAGGAACACCAGUGGCGAAGGCGACUCUCUGGUCUGUAACUGACGCUGAGGAGCGAAAGCGUGGGGAGCGAGCAGGAUUAGAUACCCGCGUAGUCCCUGUCUCUUAUAC
rnacentral:rRNA from 1 species